rnacentral:rRNA from 1 species
AACUACAUACAAUAAGCGGAGGAAAAGAAACUAACAAGGAUUCCCCUAGUAACUGCGAGUGAAGCGGGAAAAGCUCAAAUUUAAAAUCUGGUGGUCUUUGGCCAUCCGAGUUGUAAUUUAGAGAAGCGUCUUCCGCGCUGGACCGUGCACAAGUCUCCUGGAAUGGAGCGUCAUAGAGGGUGAGAAUCCCGUCUUUGGCACGGACACACCAGGGCUUUUGUGAUGCGCUCUCAAAGAGUCGAGUUGUUUGGGAAUGCAGCUCAAAAUGGGUGGUGAACUCCAUCUAAAGCUAAAUAUUGGCGAGAGACCGAUAGCGAACAAGUACCGUGAGGGAAAGAUGAAAAGCACUUUGGAAAGAGAGUGAAACAGUACGUGAAAUUGUUGAAAGGGAAACGCUUGAAGUCAGUCGCGUCGACCGAGACUCAGCCUUGCCUCGGCUUGGUGUACUUCUCGGCCUGACGGGUCAGCAUCAAUUUUGCCCCUUGGAUAAUGGCGAGGGAAAUGUGACACCUUUACGGUGUGUUAUAGUCCCUUGUCGCAUGCAAGGGUUGGGAUUGAGGAACUCAGCACGCGCCUUUGGGUGUCGGGGCUUUGCCCACGAUACGUGCUUAGGAUGUUGGCGUAAUGGCUUUAAACGACCCGUCUUGAAACACGGACCAAGGAGUCUAACAUGCCUGCGAGUGUUCGGGUGGAAAACCCGUGCGCGCAAUGAAAGUGAAAGUUGGGACCUCUGUCGUGGAGGGCACCGACGCCCGGACCAGACCUUCUGUGACGGCUCUGCGGUGAAGCAUGUAUGUUAGGACCCGAAAGAUGGUGAACUAUGCCUGAAUAGGGUGAAGCCAGAGGAAACUCUGGUGGAGGCUCGUAGCGAUUCUGACGUGCAAAUCGAUCGUCAAAUUUGGGUAUAGGGGCGAAAGACUAAUCGAACCAUCUAGUAGCUGGUUCUGCGCGUUUCUCCUCCCCGCCCCUCAGGAAGGGGGAAA